rnacentral:rRNA from 1 species
AUGGCCAGGUGCAUCUGGGCUCUGGGUGAUGAUGAACUACUCGAGCAUGUGAUAUCGAACCAAAACGAAGAUGCUAGGCUAUGGCUUUUCUGGCUUUUCGAGACCACAAACCAACACGACCUUGCGCGUGUUCUGGUGACUAUGUGGGCGAUAUGGUGGGCUCGAAGAAAGGCUAUCCAUGACAAUGAAUUUCAGAGUCCGUUAUCAACAAUGUGUUUCAUCAAGAGGUACUUGGAUGACCUAGAGAUUGCAGCUGUCAGAACACCGAGUCGACAUUUGGGGCGGUCUGGUAUACGGCGCCCAAAGGCCCCCCCUGCGGGACAUGCUAAAAUCCACAUGGACGCGGCAAUAUCCAAGACACGUAACUGUGGCGCCGCAGCUGCGGUGUGUAGGAGCACCGAUGGAAACUUCAUGGGCAGUUCAGCGUUGGUGAUACAUGGGAUAACUGAUGCUGCAACACUAGAAGCUAUUGCAUGCAGGGAAGGCCUAGCACUUGCGCAAGAUUUACUACUGAAUGAUUUUGUUAUAGCAUCGGACUCCAAGCAAAUAGUUAAUGACAUCAAGACAGGAAGCAAUGGAAGAUACAGAGCAAUCACUUCGGAGAUCAGGAAUCUUUUAGUAGUCUUCAGUUGUAAUAUUACUUUCGAAGACAGAGCCUCUAAUAGCGAUGCCGAUAGGUUAGCCAAGUUUGCACAUUCAUUGGAUCGGGGUAGGCACUUGUGGUUUUUUGAACCCCAUGAUCCUUUUUGUAUCCCACUUAAAUGUGGUCUAUGA